CAGUAGCCGCGGUAAUACGUAGGUGGCAAGCGUUGUCCGGAAUUAUUGGGCGUAAAGGGCUCGCAGGCGGUUUCUUAAGUCUGAUGUGUAAGCCCCCGGCUCAACCGGGGAGGGUCAUUGGAAACUGGGAAACUUGAGUGCAGAAGAGGAGAGUGGAAUUCCACGUGUAGCGGUGAAAUGCGUAGAGAUGUGGAGGAACACCAGUGGCGAAGGCGACUCUCUGGUCUGUAACUGACGCUGAGGAGCGAAAGCGUGGGGAGCGAACAGGAUUAGAUACCCGCGUAGUCCCUGUCUCUUAUAC
rnacentral:rRNA from 1 species